rnacentral:rRNA from 1 species
UACAGAGGGUGCAAGCGUUAAUCGGAAUUACUGGGCGUAAAGCGUGCGUAGACGGUAGCGUAAGUCGGGUGUGAAAGCCCUGGGCUCAACCCGGGAAUUGCGCUUGAGACUGGUGUGCUUGAGUACGGGAGAGGAUAGUGGAAUUCCCAGUGUAGAGGUGAAAUUCGUAGAUAUUGGGAAGAACACCGGUGGCGAAGGCGGCUAUCUGGACCGUAACUGACGCUGAGGCGCGAAAGCGUGGGGAGCAAACAGGG